rnacentral:lncRNA from 1 species
AUAUUAAUAUAAAUAUGGUAACCCAAUAUGUCCGAUAUAAUCAAGGUAUGAAAAUAAAGAAGGAUAGUAUCAUGAUAUUCUAUGAAUAUAGAAUAUUAAACCAUAACUAGAGAUUUUCUUGCAUUUUUAUACUUUGAUAUUUUUUUUAUGAUUAGUGUUAUAUAUUUUAGAUGUGUCGUAAUAUAACUAAAUGUAUUAUAAAGACCUGUCACAAAUCAGGUAAUAUGGUUUUGGUACAAAUAUCUGAACCUGUAUAUAUUUGUUAUUUAGAUAUUUUUAGGUUCAUAUACAUCAGAACUGAACACAUCCAGAUCCAGAAAAACUCAACUUAAAAUUCACACAUAAAUUAAUAUUAUUCAAACGGGGCCUCAUUUCAAA